CUCCCCGAUUCUCUCUUCCUCUCCGACCUCUUCACCUUCUUCCGGCCAUAACUCCUCCAUCCGGCGACGGAUUUUUACGUGUAAGAUGUCGUUGGAAAGCUCUCUUCCUUCUCUUCAUUUCUGGGUUCGUUUCGUAGCUUAAUAUGAACUGUGGAAGGUGCAGCAACGAGAAGAAGAGGACGGUCACUGUAGCAGUUUUGAGUCAACGCCGAUAUUUUCCGAUUCCGGCAGCCUCCGGCCACCUAACUGGCAUCGAAGGGUUCUUGGAAUUUCUGGAAAUUUUUCACCGGCCAAAUUGGAGCUCUUCCAGGGCAAUGCCGCGAGCUACUGUUAAAUGAAGGAACUCGUUUGCGUGGUCGCCCAAUAGUACUUUUGCAGGCGAAAUUAGUUGAGGUCGGGCGUACAUGGAGUCGAGGCAUAGCCAACAGCAUUGCUUCCGCGUACUCAUUCUAUUUCUGUUUUCUUUGUUACCUAGUGGAUUAGUAUUGCUCUGAUAACCUAUGGGAUUAAUAUUGUUUUUGGGUUGAGACUGAUAUUUGUGAAAUUGGAGUUGUGAUUUGGGGAGCAGAUGGCUC